rnacentral:sRNA from 1 species
AUUCAAGAGAAAUUGUUGGAUUUCAAGGAAUCAAGCAAGUAAAGGUGGUGAGCCCUUUGGUAAGAGUAAGGAUAUCGUACCCGAGGACCAAGAAUAGGAGUACUCCAUAUUCCCGUUAAGUUCUUAAGGAUUCUCAAUCAAGGAUUUAGUCUGAAUUCAAGCUAAGUAAGCUUUCUAAGGGCUAUAAAGCUGCAAAUGAGAUCAAUAAGAUUUGCCAAGCUGCAUUAUUGAAGGGAAACCAUCAAGCAAAAGAAAGAUAAGUUGAAAAAAGAUUUCAUUUAAAGCACCAAGUCCUACAGCUAGAGGUUUGAUCAGCUGUGCUGCCAAGCUAUGAUUUAAGCUAGCAAAAGAUCCGAUGCUACUCAAGACAUAGACGUGCAAGGGAUCCACGUAUAUAUUAUGGUAAACUCAAUGACCAAGGCAUUCAUAAAUACCUUCCGCAUCUAAGGUUCACUCCACUAGUAGUCAGUUUUUAGUUAUGUUAUGUGAUUGGACAUGUAGCCUUGUAGAUACAAACGUAUGUGGGUUAUGGGACAUUAAUUGUCAUGACCCGGUACUCCCUUCGAGCCCGUGACAACCACCGUGAUGUCUCGAUAGACAUUCAUUUCCCGAAAUGUCAACCGAAACCUCGCAAAGCUCUUACAUCAAUUUUACGUCUCCCCUAUGAGCAACAGUUACUAAAUAUCAUGUUUUAAGAGAAUAUAAACUAUUUUUAAAUAAAAAACAAACAAAGGUA